UAACGAGUUAUUAAUGCAUAAAAGUAAAUGAAGCAAGAGAUUACUGUGAUCGAGUAGGCCAUUAGCAGCGUAUAUAUGGUAGAGGAACGCGGCUCCGGCACUCAGUCACUGAUCGAGCUGCACAAUGCUGAAACACGCGAGCUUGUUGCUGCUGCUGCUGGCGGCGCUGCUGAGCGGCUCGGCGCUUGCUAAGCCCUACCUCGGCCUCGGCUUCGGCCUGGGGGGGCUCGGUGGCUACGGUGGCUACGGUGGCUACGGAGGCUACGGCGACUACGGGGGCUACGGGGGCUAUGGAGGCUAUGGCUAUUACCCGUCUAUUUACUAUUAAUUACUAGAUAUACUGAGCUUGAUUAUUUAGUCACUGAAUAAAAUUGAUUACUUAAAA